UACUGGAACGGUAGCUAAUACCGCAUAACGUCGCAAGACCAAAGAGGGGGACCUUCGGGCCUCUUGCCAUCGGAUGUGCCCAGAUGGGAUUAGCUAGUAGGUGGGGUAACGGCUCACCUAGGCGACGAUCCCUAGCUGGUCUGAGAGGAUGACCAGCCACACUGGAACUGAGACACGGUCCAGACUCCUACGGGAGGCAGCAGUGGGGAAUAUUGCACAAUGGGCGCAAGCCUGAUGCAGCCAUGCCGCGUGUAUGAAGAAGGCCUUCGGGUUGUAAAGUACUUUCAGCGGGGAGGAAGGGAGUAAAGUUAAUACCUUUGCUCAUUGACGUUACCCGCAGAAGAAGCACCGGCUAACUCCGUGCCAGCAGCCGCGGUAAUACGGAGGGUGCAAGCGUUAAUCGGAAUUACUGGGCGUAAAGCGCACGCAGGCGGUUUGUUAAGUCAGAUGUGAAAUCCCCGGGCUCAACCUGGGAACUGCAUCUGAUACUGGCAAGCUUGAGUCUCGUAGAGGGGGGUAGAAUUCCAGGUGUAGCGGUGAAAUGCGUAGAGAUCUGGAGGAAUACCGGUGGCGAAGGCGGCCCCCUGGACGAAGACUGACGCUCAGGUGCGAAAGCGUGGGGAGCAAACAGGAUUAGAUACCCUGGUAGUCCACGCCGUAAACGAUGUCGACUUGGAGGUUGUGCCCUUGAGGCGUGGCUUCCGGAGCUAACGCGUUAAGUCGACCGCCUGGGGAGUACGGCCGCAAGGUUAAAACUCAAAUGAAUUGACGGGGGCCCGCACAAGCGGUGGAGCAUGUGGUUUAAUUCGAUGCAACGCGAAGAACCUUACCUGGUCUUGACAUCCACGGAAGUUUUCAGAGAUGAGAAUGUGCCUUCGGGAACCGUGAGACAGGUGCUGCAUGGCUGUCGUCAGCUCGUGUUGUGAAAUGUUGGGUUAAGUCCCGCAACGAGCGCAACCCUUAUCCUUUGUUGCCAGCGGUCCGGCCGGGAACUCAAAGGAGACUGCCAGUGAUAAACUGGAGGAAGGUGGGGAUGACGUCAA
rnacentral:rRNA from 1 species